UACGUAGGGUGCGAGCGUUAAUCGGAAUUACUGGGCGUAAAGCGCGCGCAGGCGGCUAUCCAAGUCAGUGGUGAAAGCCCGGAGCUCAACUCCGGAACUGCCAUUGAAACUGUUUAGCUUGAGGACGAGAGAGGUGAGUGGAAUUCCCAGUGUAGAGGUGAAAUUCGUAGAUAUUGGGAAGAACACCGGUGGCGAAGGCGGCUCACUGGCUCGUUUCUGACGCUCAGGCGCGAUAGCGUGGGGAUCAAACAGG
rnacentral:rRNA from 1 species